rnacentral:rRNA from 1 species
CGGUACGUACUGGCAUUGUUGGUUUCUCCCUUCUGACGAACCAUGAUGUCAUUUAUUUGGUGUUGUGGGGAAUCAGGACUGUUACUUUGAAAAAAUUAGAGUGUUUAAAGCAGGCUCACGCUUGAAUACAUUAGCAUGGAAUAAUGAGAUAGGACGUUUGAUUCUAUUUUGUUGGUUUCUAGGAUCGACGUAAUGAUUAAUAGGGAUAGUUGGGGGCAUUAGUAUUCAAUUGUCAGAGGUGAAAUUCUUGGAUUUAUUGAAGACUAACUACUGCGAAAGCAUUUGCCAAGGAUGUUUUCAUUAAUCAAGAACGAAAGUUAGGGGAUCGAAGACGAUCAGAUACCGUCGUAGUCUUAACCAUAAACUAUGCCGACUAGGGAUCGGAUGAUGUUAAUUUUUUAAUGACUCAUUCGGCGCCUUACG